UACAGAGGGGGCGAGCGUUGUUCGGAAUUACUGGGCGUAAAGGGCGCGUAGGCGGCCAACUAAGUCAGACGUGAAAUCCCUCGGCUUAACCGGGGAACUGCGUCUGAUACUGGAUGGCUUGAGAUUGGGAGAGGGAUGCGGAAUUCCAGGUGUAGCGGUGAAAUGCGUAGAUAUCUGGAGGAACACCGGUGGCGAAGGCGGCAUCCUGGACCAACACUGACGCUGAGGCACGAAAGCGUGGGGAGCAAACAGG
rnacentral:rRNA from 1 species